rnacentral:rRNA from 1 species
UACGGAGGGUGCGAGCGUUGUCCGGAAUCAUUGGGCGUAAAGGGCGCGUAGGUGGCCCGGUCAGUUCGUGGUGAAAGCGCGGGGCUCAACCCUGCGUCGGCCAUGAAUACUGGCGCGGCUGGAGCACUGUAGAGGCAGGCGGAAUUCCGGGUGUAGCGGUGGAAUGCGUAGAGAUCCGGAAGAACACCGGUGGCGAAGGCGGCCUGCUGGGCAGUUGCUGACACUGAGGCGCGACAGCGUGGGGAGCAAACAGG